CAGCCGCCGCGGGAAUACGUAGGGUGCAAGCGUUAAUCGGAAUUACUGGGCGUAAAGCGUGCGCAGGCGGUUUUGUAAGACAGAGGUGAAAUCCCCGGGCUCAACCUGGGAACUGCCUUUGUGACUGUAUAGCUAGAGUACGGCAGAGGGGGAUGGAAUUCCGCGUGUAGCAGUGAAAUGCGUAGAUAUGCGGAGGAACACCGAUGGCGAAGGCAAUCCCCUGGGCCUGUACUGACGCUCAUGCACGAAAGCGUGGGGAGCAAACAGGAUUAGAUACCCGCGUAGUCCCUGUCUCUUAUAA
rnacentral:rRNA from 1 species